UUGCACCGAGAUUCAACAUGGAACGAGUGGCGGACGGGUGAGUAACACGUGGGUAACCUGCCCUUAAGUGGGGGAUAACAUUUGGAAACAGAUGCUAAUACCGCAUAGAUCCAAGAACCGCAUGGUUCUUGGCUGAAAGAUGGCGUAAGCUAUCGCUUUUGGAUGGACCCGCGGCGUAUUAGCUAGUUGGUGAGGUAAUGGCUCACCAAGGCGAUGAUACGUAGCCGAACUGAGAGGUUGAUCGGCCACAUUGGGACUGAGACACGGCCCAAACUCCUACGGGAGGCAGCAGUAGGGAAUCUUCCACAAUGGACGCAAGUCUGAUGGAGCAACGCCGCGUGAGUGAAGAAGGCUUUCGGGUCGUAAAACUCUGUUGUUGGAGAAGAAUGGUCGGCAGAGUAACUGUUGCCGGCGUGACGGUAUCCAACCAGAAAGCCACGGCUAACUACGUGCCAGCAGCCGCGGUAAUACG
rnacentral:rRNA from 1 species